GGUGCUUGUGGCACCUGGCCCUGAAGGUGGAGAGACACUGGCUGUGCGUGUGUGAUAUGAUGGUGUGGUCUGGGGGGUCCCGCUGGCUGUCCUUCCUGGAAGGACGUGAGGGACAUCUCAGGAGUUUGGUGAGCCCCAUUUUCUUCCUCUCAUGAUCUGUGGGUGAUGUAUUUUACUACCCACCGCCACUGUAGGAACGUACUAAUGUGGCCAACUUCCCUGGCCACUCGGGCCCCAUCACUAGCAUCGCCUUCUCUGAGAAUGGUUACUACCUGGCUACAGCGGCUGAUGACUCCUCUGUCAAGCUCUGGGAUCUGCGCAAGCUUAAGAACUUUAAGACUUUGCAGCUGGAUAACAACUUUGAGGUAAAGUCACUGAUCUUUGACCAGAGUGGUACCUACCUGGCCCUUGGGGGCACGGAUGUCCAGAUCUACAUC
rnacentral:sRNA from 1 species